rnacentral:rRNA from 1 species
GAUGAACGCUAGCGGCAGGCUUAAUACAUGCAAGUCGAGGGGCAGCAGGUUUGUAGCAAUACAAAUGCUGGCGACCGGCAAACGGGUGCGGAGCACGUACGCAACCUUCCUUUAACUGGAAGAUAGCCCACCGAAAGGUGGAUUAAUACUCCAUAAUAUAACUGAAUGGCAUCAUUUAGAUAUUAAAGCUCCGGCGGUUAAAGAUGGGCGUGCGUCUGAUUAGGUAGUUGGCGGGGUAACGGCCCACCAAGCCUGCGAUCAGUAGCUGAUGUGAGAGCAUGAUCAGCCACACGGGCACUGAGACACGGGCCCGACUCCUACGGGAGGCAGCAGUAAGGAAUAUUGGACAAUGGGCGCAAGUCUGAACCAGCCAUGCCGCGUGAAGGAUGAAGGUCCUCUGGAUUGUAAACUUCUUUUAUAUGGGACGAAAAAAGGUCAUUCUUGAUCACUUGACGGUACCAUUUGAAUAAGCACCGGCUAACUCCGUGCCAGCAGCCGCAGUAACAC